UACGUAGGGUGCAAGCGUUGUCCGGAAUUAUUGGGCGUAAAGAGCUCGUAGGCGGUCUGUCGCGUCGGCUGUGAAAACCCGGAGCUCAACCCCGGGCGUGCAGUGGAUACGGGCUGGCUAGAGGCAGGCAGGGGAGAACGGAAUUCCCGGUGUAGCGGUGAAAUGCGCAGAUAUCGGGAGGAACACCGGUGGCGAAGGCGGUUCUCUGGGCCUGUACUGACGCUGAGGAGCGAAAGCGUGGGGAGCGAACAGG
rnacentral:rRNA from 1 species